AAAGAAGAAGCAAAGAAUGAAUCACAAAGAUAACAAUCAAAAAGGAAAAAAAGGGAAAUGACUUGUGGAACUGUUUUUCAUCAUUAU
rnacentral:ribozyme from 1 species